GCCUGGGUACGAAUAAUAAGAAGCUGGCAACUAAUGAGACUUUUAAUCUCAGGGCUGUGGGUUCGAGCCCCACUUUGGGCA